rnacentral:rRNA from 1 species
UGGCGACCGGCGCACGGGUGCGUAACGCGUAUGCAACCUACCUUUAACAGGGGGAUAACACUAAGAAAUUGGUACUAAUACCCCAUAAUAUCAUAGAAGGCAUCUUUUAUGGUUGAAAAUUCCGAUGGUUAGAGAUGGGCAUGCGUUGUAUUAGCUGUUGGUGGGGUAACGGCUCACCAAGGCGACGAUACAUAGGGGGACUGAGAGGUUAACCCCCCACACUGGUACUGAGACACGGACCAG